rnacentral:rRNA from 1 species
CCUACCAUUGCAGUCGGACCGUAGCCAGAGGAGCUUGCUCCUUGGGUGACGAGUGGCAGACGGGUGAGUAGUGUCUGGGGAUCUGCCCGAUAGAGGGGGAUAACCACUGGAAACUGUGGCUAAUACCGCAUAACGUCGCAAGACCAGAGAGGGGGACCUUCGGGCCUCUCACUAUCAGAUGAACCCAUAUGGGAUUAGCUAGUAGGCGGGGUAAUGGCCCACCUAGGCGACUAUCCCUAGCUGGUCUGAGAGGAUGACCAGCCCACACUGGAAAUGACACACGGUCCACACUCCUACGGGAGGCAGCAGUGGGGAAUAUUGCACAAUGGGCGCAAGCCUGAUGCAGCCAUGCCGCGUGUAUGAAGAAGGCCUUCGGGUUGUAAAGUACUUUCAGCGGGGAGGAAGGCGACGGGGUUAAUAACCCUGUCGAUUGACGUUACCCGCAGAAGAAGCACCGGCUAACUCCGUGCCAGCAGCCGCGGUAAUACGGAGGGUGCAAGCGUUAAUCGGAAUUACUGGGCGUAAAGCGCACGCAGGCGGUCUGUUAAGUCAGAUGUGAAAUCCCCGGGCUUAACCUGGGAACUGCAUUUGAAACUGGCAGGCUUGAGUCUUGUAGAGGGGGGUAGAAUUCCAGGUGUAGCGGUGAAAUGCGUAGAGAUCUGGAGGAAUACCGGUGGCGAAGGCGGCCCCCUGGACAAAGACUGACGCUCAGGUGCGAAAGCGUGGGGAGCAAACAGGAUUAGAUACCCUGGUAGUCCACGCCGUAAACGAUGUCGACUUGGAGGUUGUUCCCUUGAGGAGUGGCUUCCGGAGCUAACGCGUUAAGUCGACCGCCUGGGGAGUACGGCCGCAAGGUUAAAACUCAAAUGAAUUGACGGGGGCCCGCACAAGCGGUGGAGCAUGUGGUUUAAUUCGAUGCAACGCGAAGAACCUUACCUACUCUUGACAUCCACGGAAUUUGGCAGAGAUGCCUUAGUGCCUUCGGGAACCGUGAGACAGGUGCUGCAUGGCUGUCGUCAGCUCGUGUUGUGAAAUGUUGGGUUAAGUCCCGCAACGAGCGCAACCCUUAUCCUUUGUUGCCAGCGAUUCGGUCGGGAACUCAAAGGAGACUGCCGGUGAUAAACCGGAGGAAGGUGGUGAUGACGUCAAGUCAUCAUGGCCCUUACGAGUAGGGCUACACACGUGCUACAAUGGCGCAUACAAAGAGAAGCGACCUCGCGAGAGCAAGCGGACCUCACAAAGUGCGUCGUAGUCCGGAUCGGAGUCUGCAACUCGACUCCGUGAAGUCGGAAUCGCUAGUAAUCGUGGAUCAGAAUGCCACGGUGAAUACGUUCCCGGGCCUUGUACACACCGCCCGUCACACCAUGGGAGUGGGUUGCAAAAGAAGUAGGUAGCUUAACCUUCGGGAGGGCGCUUACCACUUUGUGAUUCAUGACU